UCAAAAAAUGGAAUCCACAAUCCAGAUCCAACCUAAGCAGGCCCUCUAAGUUUUUACACAGCUUUUGAAUGAAUCAUCUGGCAGUAGACUGGAGAAGAGGGUGUAGCUAGCACAGCUACGAACUGCCUCUGCAAACUGCUGCCAGGAAAUAGCCCAUAUGUAGCAGAAUUGUGGAAGAGACUGCUAUCAGAAAGAAAAUUACCAGCUGCAAAUUUUUCAAGCCUCCCUACUCAGUCCCGAAGGCU